CCUACGGGAGGCAGCAGUGGGGAAUUUUGGACAAUGGGCGCAAGCCUGAUCCAGCAAUGCCGCGUGAGUGAAGAAGGCCUUCGGGUUGUAAAGCUCUUUUGUCAGGGAAGAAACGGUCUACUCUAAUACAGUGGGCUAAUGACGGUACCUGAAGAAUAAGCACCGGCUAACUACGUGCCAGCAGCCGCGGUAAUACGUAGGGUGCAAGCGUUAAUCGGAAUUACUGGGCGUAAAGCGUGCGCAGGCGGUUAUAUAAGUCAGAUGUGAAAUCCCCGGGCUCAACCUGGGAACUGCAUUUGAGACUGUAUGGCUAGAGUGUGUCAGAGGGGGGUAGAAUUCCACGUGUAGCAGUGAAAUGCGUAGAUAUGUGGAGGAAUACCGAUGGCGAAGGCAGCCCCCUGGGAUAACACUGACGCUCAUGCACGAAAGCGUGGGGAGCAAACAGGAUUAGAUACCCUGGUAGUCCACGCCCUAAACGAUGUCUACUAGUUGUCGGGACUUAAUUGUCUUGGUAACGCAGCUAACGCGUGAAGUAGACCGCCUGGGGAUACGGUCGCAAGNUUAAAACUAGAGAUGACGNNGAGAGNGCGACGACGACGACGAGGGAGGAGG
rnacentral:rRNA from 1 species